AUGCUGGCGACGAUGAACUCGAGUGGAACAGGGACAACAAGAGGGGAGGAGAAGGAAGAUGUAGGCCUGGAGUCAGCCAUGAAAAAUAUGAGGUUGUUGGACGGCGAGCUCGACGACGUCUAUGUCGGGGUUGAGGAACUUGGACAGCUACAAAAGGAGGCAAGAUGGCUUGUAGUAGCGAAGGUCAAUACACCUAAGAAGUUCAGUAGUUCUGCGUUCAAGGAGACCAUGAAAUCAAUUUGGAAUCUGGCCCAUACACCGGAGAUCAGGGAAGUCAAUGACAAUCUGUUCACAAUACAAGUAUUUUGCCUGGAGGAUUGGAAGCGUGUAAUGCAUCAGGGGCCAUGCAUCUUCCAUGGCUCAUGGUACUAA
rnacentral:rRNA from 1 species